CAGCACGUCUUCGGAUGGUGGCGACCGGCAAACGGGUGCGUAACACGUACGCAACCUUCCCGUUACAGUGGGAUAGCCCAGGGAAACUUGGAUUAAUACCACAUAUUAUGGUUGAGAGGCAUCUCUUGGCCAUCAAAGAAAUUCGGUAACGGAUGGGCGUGCGUUUGAUUAGGUAGUUGGCGGGGUAACGGCCCACCAAGCCUACGAUCAAUAGCUGAUGUGAGAGCAUGAUCAGCCACACGGGCACUGAGACACGGGCCCGACUCCUACGGGAGGCAGCAGUAAGGAAUAUUGGGCAAUGGACGAAAGUCUGACCCAGCCAUGCCGCGUGAAGGAUGACGGCCCUACGGGUUGUAAACUUCUUUUCUCUGGGGCGAAAACCUCCUAAUCUUAGGAAUUUGACAGUACCAGAGGAAUAAGCACCGGCUAACUCCGUGCCAGCAGCCGCGGUAAUACGGAGGGUGCAAGCGUUAUCCGGAUUCACUGGGUUUAAAGGGUGCGU
rnacentral:rRNA from 1 species